AGUCUGCAACUCGACUACAUGAAGCUGGAAUCGCUAGUAAUCGCGAAUCAGAAUGUCGCGGUGAAUACGUUCCCGGGUCUUGUACACACCGCCCGUCACACCAUGGGAGUCAGUAACGCCCGAAGUCAGUGACCCAACCAGAGAUGGAGGGAGCUGCCGAAGGCGGGACCGAUAACUGGGGUGAAGUCGUAACAAGGUACC
rnacentral:rRNA from 1 species